CCUCACAAACUCCCCUCUCGAGAGCGCGCCUUCGCCCCCCUUCCCCCGAACCCCUUCGAAGGCACACCAUGGCAGCCUCAAGCCCGUUGCUUCUUCUCUUCUCCAAAUCUCCUGGGAGCGUCUUGGUCCCUCGUUACGAAGAGAAGGCAAAGGAAGCUCAGCCAUGUCGCCAAUUGGCCGUAGGAAGGGAACUGGCGGUCUUAUUUCCUCAGAAAGAUCGAAGAUUGAUGAGAUUGCUUUAUCACAGUAACCUAGCCAGCUUUGUAGCCAAACAACUAUUUCUACUGUUGAUGAUCUUUUACAGAUUCAAGAGAGGAAGACUAUUAACGAGAUAAAGAAGAGACUAUAUGUGGGACAAUCGCUAUGAUGAUGAGCAUCGACACGGAGCGUGGGUGGUUUUAUAACUCUUGCAAGAAAUACACUAACAAAGUUAUUCUGGAUGGCUCUAGAUUUUACUACGAGAAAUGUAAUGGACUUGUGAAUUCUGUUGUACCUAGGUAAAGAUGUAAAAUAAAUUGACUGAUGGAUAUUUAUGUUAAUAUCAUUUGCACUAAUUUUAUCUCCAA